AGUCUGCUCCACGCUUGCCGCCAGAAGCUCCACAGACCGAGGCUCCAAGAUGUUGUCGGCCACAGGCCAGCUGUCGGAGCGCUUCUCCGGCGACCCCCAGCAAGGGGGUCGGCGAUGUUACAGUCCCUGCUGCGCCACCGCUGAAGCUCCGGGCCCACGAUGUUACAGUCCCCACUGCGCCGCCGUUGAAGCUCUGGGCCCGACUCCGGGAGAGCCCGUACCAAACCAGCUCUAAGACGGCGAGGACGGAGGCGAAGAAGCGACAAGGAUGAAAGUCGCAUCUCCCUUGAGGAGCCAAUUACAGGAACUGCUUUGAGAGGAAGGAAUUCAGGAAGUGGAGAUAAUAAUGAAGGGUCUGGCUAUGGCUGGUUACCCAUGUGGGUCCCUUGAAGGCAGAAACUGAUGAAAUUAUUAUGGGGAACAAGGAAAUGGCAGAAGAGAAGAACAGGUACUUUGGUUCUGUCUUCACUAAGGAAGACACAAACAAUCUCCCAGAUGUACCAGAGGACAGAGGAUCCAGGGAGAAAGCGGAACUGAAAGAAAUCUGCAUUAGACGAGAAAUAGUAUUGGGCAGACUGAUGGGACUGAAGGCUGAUAAAUCCCCAGGGCUUGAUGGUUUCCAUCCCAGGGUACUCAAGAAGGUGCCUCU